rnacentral:rRNA from 1 species
GUUCGACUUUUAAAAGUUACAUGAUUUGAGUUCAGACCGGUACAAGCCAGGUCAGUUUCUAUCUUCUAUAAAUAAUUAUACAGUACGAAAGGACCUAUAAUAAAAAUAUUAUUUUUCAAUUAGCANAUAAAUGCAUUAGAAUUAGAAUCUAAUUAAACUAUAUUUUAUUUAUAAUAAAUUAUACUAUU